rnacentral:rRNA from 1 species
GACGAACGCCGGCGGCGUGCCUAAUACAUGCAAGUAGAACGCUGAAGAGAGGAGCUUACUCUUCUUGGAUGAGUUGCGAACGGGUGAGUAACGCGUAGGUAACCUGCCUUGUAGCGGGGGAUAACUAUUGGAAACGAUAGCUAAUACCGCAUAACAAUGGAUGACACAUGUCAUUUAUUUGAAAGGGGCAAUUGCUCCACUACAAGAUGGACCUGCGUUGUAUUAGCUAGUAGGUGAGGUAAUGGCUCACCUAGGCGACGAUACAUAGCCGACCUGAGAGGGUGAUCGGCCACACUGGGACUGAGACACGGCCCAGACUCCUACGGGAGGCAGCAGUAGGGAAUCUUCGGCAAUGGGGGCAACCCUGACCGAGCAACGCCGCGUGAGUGAAGAAGGUUUUCGGAUCGUAAAGCUCUGUUGUAAGUCAAGAACGGGUGUGAGAGUGGAAAGUUCACAGUGUGACGGUAGCUUACCAGAAAGGGACGGCUAACUACGUG